GAGCUGAGUGUCAUUGAUGUAACAGUUUUGUUCCUGAAUAUAAAGCUGUCCAGUCGCACUACUGUAAUAAUGUCCAGCUUUGGAAAAGAACAGAAUGCUCAAUUUUUCUGUCAACAGCAUGCAAAAGGUUACAGAGCCCUGCCUCACCCCUGGUUUAAAUGGAAGCUUACCUGUCCAUCAAGAGGAGACAGGGGGUGGAGCUUCUGAAUAUUAAACCUGGCCCUCAGUCACUGUGCUGUGACUGCCCCCGGACAGACUCCCCAGAGGUCUGGUCCCACGGCCCUUUGCUCUUGCCCAGCCUUGAUGAUCAUGUGCUGGCCCACUGGUCUCCGAGCCCUAGACGCCGCUCCUCAUCCUAGAUCUGUGCAUAGGCAUUCAGUGUUUCAAACGUUCAGCCUGGCAAGUGGGGCAUCCGUGUCCAUGACAUGACUCCUGUUCACAUCUCAAUAGAAAGUCGCUGUAUUAAAGUUGAUCACAAAACAAAAUGAAAGUCACUGUUAAACAAAGAGCACAAGCAAGUGCAUUGUCCUAAGAGAGGGCCAGCAAGUAAGGCUGAUGGACCUGAUCUAUGAAGUUCUGUGCAUUUAGAUUGACAUCAGUCGCUACACAUGUGGUGUCCUAUAGUUACUAGACAAUUCUUCGCAAACCUUCACACUUGGAUGAUGAUUUGUCGAGCUUGGAGAUGUGUCAUAACUAGUGAUCUCCCAGUACGCGGUCUGUCGUUCACAGACUGUGGUUUGGCAAUAACAUCUUGCCAGGUUAAACAUUGCUGGAUGUGAACAUCCCAGACAGGGCGACAUCCAAGAUAGUGAUGAUGCCAUUGACAAAUUGGUUUUUUGAGCUGCAGGGCGUAUUGCUUCUUUUUUGUAUUUAUUUUUCACUUUCACCACUCUACACAUUCAACAGGUUAAAUGUGCCCAAUCACCUUUCACACUAAUGAGGUGAUUUAGCACUGAUGCGACAAAGACACUUAAGAGUAUCACAGUCACUCAUGAAUGAUCAGUCAAAAUGUCACUAAAAUGAUUUAAUCAAUAUUCAAAAUCCAUAUACUUUAAUAUUCUAAAAACACACAUGGAUGAAUCAGUAAUAAAUUCCUUCUGAUGCUCAUUAUAUACACAUUGAAAUAUACUAUCCAUGCUUCUAACACGUAUGCUUAUAACACAUGUGAGUAUUUCGAUUGUGUGUGAAUAUAUAUAUUUUCCUAUCAAAUACUGUAGGAAAUAUUCAUUUAUUUGAACUACAGUGAAGAGUUGGAAGGCACAAUACAAUUUCUUUAUCGUGCUUUCCAGUACAACACUGUUAAUCCAAGGAACUGACAAAAUCACAAACCAACAAUUUGAACUGAUAAUUUGAAACUACAGAAGUAGUAGUUCUCAAAAUCUCUGUCAUAAUAAUUCUCUACUAACAAUUCCAGCAAUUUGUUCCAGCGAUAGCUUGGCAGUUGUUCUGUAUUAAAGAGGAUUUACUAUUAAUUGGAGAACAGGCCAUAUGAAAUAUAAUCUUCCGAGGAUGACAACUCUGCAGUUUACCUGAUUAAUGUACAAAGCCUCUUUGGGCUUCUGUCAUGUACUUCUAUUAAUUUAUCCUGCUAUACAAAGUUCAAACCCCCAAAUUUGUCUCUUGUCUUCAUAAUAAAUGCACUGUAAAGAGCACCAGAACCAGGAACAUCAAAACCAGGUCCUGUGGUUCCCCCACAUUUGAAAGUGGGGACUUCGGGCCCCCUCACAUCCUGUGGCAGAAAAAAAAGGUGGUGGCAGUUUGCAGCUCUGUCAGACAUAAAUAGAAGCUUUUCUUUCCUUGGCUGCAGAAAUAAAGUGAGGCCUGUCCAGUCUUGCCCGC